AAACGAACGGGAAACUUAAGUAACAUGUUGAAGAAAAUGGGCGGUUUAGGAUUUUUAUCCUGCGGCAUUUUGCUGUUAUGUGUUGUCAGCAAUGUCGAAUCCUAUUCAAAAUAUGGACGCGGUUGUGCUGACAUCGGUUGUUUGCCCAACGAGGAGUGUGUAAUUACAUCGGAUUCUUGUAGUUAUAAUCAACGCGAUGGCAAGGACUGCGGCCAAUAUCCAACUUGCAGGAAGAAGACAAGUGGUGGCGUCAGCACCUCUUCCUCUUCGUCAUCGGUUUAUCCUUCAG